AGAGUUUGAUUAUGGCUCAGGAUGAACGCUAGCUACAGGCUUAACACAUGCAAGUCGAGGGGCAGCAUGAUCUAGCUGCUAGAAUGAUGGCGACCGGCGCACGGGUGAGUAACGCGUAUCCAACCUUCCCUAUAGUAGAGGAUAGCCCGGCGAAAGUCGGAUUAAUACUCUAUGUUGUUCAAUGCGGACAUCUAAGUUGAACCAAAGGUUUACCGCUAUAGGAUGGGGAUGCGUCUGAUUAGAUGGUAGGCGGGGUAACGGCCCACCUAGUCGACGAUCAGUAGGGGUUCUGAGAGGAAGGUCCCCCACAUUGGAACUGAGACACGGUCCAAACUCCUACGGGAGGCAGCAGUGAGGAAUAUUGGCCAAUGGGCGAGAGCCUGAACCAGCCAAAAGUAGCGUGCAGGAUGACGGCCCUAUGGGUUGUAAACUGCUUUAUACGGGGAUAAAGUGAGGGACGUGUCCCUUUUUGUAGGUACCGUAUGAAUAAGGACCGGCUAAUUCCGUGCCAGCAGCCGC
rnacentral:rRNA from 1 species